rnacentral:misc_RNA from 1 species
AACAUCGCGCACCUGCGGGAACCUGCGGAAGGAUCAUUACAGAGUUACUACUCCAAACCCAUUGUGAACCUUACCUAUGUUCUGUUGCCUCGGCGGCGUGGUCAGCGCCCCUCUGAAAAGAGGACGAUGCCCUCCCGCCGGCAGCACCAAACUCUUGAAUUUUACAGCGGAUUACAGUUCUGAUUUGAAAACAAAAAACAAGUUAAAACUUUUAACAACGGAUCUCAGAUCGGAAGAGCA